AGAUACCCCACUAUGCUCAGCCGUAAACCUUAAUUUACACCAAAAUCGCCAGGGAACUACGAGCCAUGCUUAAAACCCAAAGGACUUGACGGCACUUCACACCCCACUAGAGGAGCCUGUCCUAUAAUCGAUGAUCCCCGUUCAACCUCACCUCUCCUAGCCCUCUUCAGCCUGUAUACUUCCGUCGCCAGCCCACCUCAUGAGCGCCACUCAGUGGGCUCUUCGCUCAAUUCGCACAAACGUCAGGUCAAGGUGCAGCAAAUGGAGUGGGAAGAGAUGGGCUACAUUCUCUAACCUAGAGCAUACGAAAGACUGCAUAUGAAACCCAGUCCGAAGGCGGAUUUAGAAGUAAAGAGAAAUCAAAGAGCUCUCUUUAAUUUGGUACUGAAGUGUGUACACACCGCCCGUCACCCUCCUCAAAGCAUUAUAGACAGUAACUAACAACUAACAACACAAAAGAGGAGGCAAGUCGUAACA
rnacentral:rRNA from 2 species